rnacentral:rRNA from 1 species
CGGGUGGAGCUUGCGGUUUAAUUGGAUUCAACGCCGGAAAUCUUACCGGGACCGACAGCAAUAUGAAGGCCAGGCUGAAGACUUUGCCGGAUUAGCUGAGAGGUGGUGCAUGGCCGUCGUCAGUUCGUACUGUGAAGCAUCCUGUUAAGUCAGGCAACGAGCGAGACCCACGCCCACAGUUGCCAGCGUACUCUCUGGAGUGACGGGUACACUGUGGGACCGCCGCUGCUAAAGCGGAGGAAGGAAUGGGCAACGGUAGGUCAGUAUGCCCCGAAUAUCCCGGGCUACACGCGAGCUACAAUGGUUGGUACAAUGGGUAUCUACCCCGAAAGGGGACGGGAAUCUCCUAAAACCAAUCUUAGUUCGGAUUGAGGGCUGCAACUCGCCCUCAUGAAGCUGGAAUCCGUAGUAAUCGCGUUUCAACAGAACGCGGUGAAUACGUCCCUGCUCCUU